GACCACUCCAGUGGCCUCGUGGUUAGAGCGUCCGCCUCAAAUGCGGGAGGACGUGGGUUCUAACCCCGGCUGAGUCA